UGCGCAGGCGGUUUUGUAAGUCGGAUGUGAAAUCCCCGGGCUCAACCUGGGAACUGCGUUCGAAACUGCAAGGCUAGAGUGUGUCAGAGGGGGGUAGAAUUCCACGUGUAGCAGUGAAAUGCGUAGAGAUGUGGAGGAAUACUAAUGGCGAAGGCAGCCCCCUGGGAUAACACUGACGCUCAUGCACGAAAGCGUGGGGAGCAAACA
rnacentral:rRNA from 1 species